rnacentral:rRNA from 1 species
CCUACGGGAGGCAGCAGUGGGGAAUCUUGCGCAAUGGGCGAAAGCCUGACGCAGCCAUGCCGCGUGGAUGAUGAAGGUCUUAGGAUUGUAAAAUCCUUUCAGCGGGGACGAUAAUGACGGUACCCGCAGAAGAAGCCCCGGCUAACUUCGUGCCAGCAGCCGCGGUAAU